GAUCAUUAGUGAAUAUAGGACGUCCAACUUAACUUGGAGUCCGAACUCUCACUUUCUAACCCUGUGCACUUGUUUGGGAUAGUAACUCUCGCAAGAGAGCGAACUCCUAUUCACUUAUAAACACAAAGUCUAUGAAUGUAUUAAAUUUUAUAACAAAAUAAAACUUUCAACAACGGAUCUCUUGGCUCUCGCAUCGAUGAAGAACGCAGCGAAAUGCGAUAAGUAAUGUGAAUUGCAGAAUUCAGUGAAUCAUCGAAUCUUUGAACGCACCUUGCGCUCCAUGGUAUUCCGUGGAGCAUGCCUGUUUGAGUGUCAUGAAUACUUCAACCCUCCUCUUUCUUAAUGAUUGAAGAGGUGUUUGGUUUCUGAGCGCUGCUGGCCUUUACGGUCUAGCUCGUUCGUAAUGCAUUAGCAUCCGCAAUCGAACUUCGGAUUGACUUGGCGUAAUAGACUAUUCGCUGAGGAAUUCUAGUCUUCGGACUAGAGCCGGGUUGGGUUAAAGGAAGCUUCUAAUCAGAAUGUCUACAUUUUAAGAUUAGAUCUCAAAUCAGGUAGGACUACCCGCUGAACU
rnacentral:misc_RNA from 1 species